UACGAAGGUCCCAAGCGUUAUCCGGAUUUAUUGGGUUUAAAGGGUGCGUAGGCGGGUUAUUAAGUCAGUGGUGAAAGCCUUCAGCUUAACUGAAGAACUGCCAUUGAUACUGAUGACCUUGAGUAUGAUUGAGGUGGGCGGAAUGUGUCAUGUAGCGGUGAAAUGCUUAGAUAUGACACAGAACACCGAUUGCGAAGGCAGCUCACUAAGCCAUAACUGACGCUGAUGCACGAAAGCGUGGGGAGCAAACAGG
rnacentral:rRNA from 1 species